GACGAACGCUGGCGGCGUGCUUAACACAUGCAAGUCGAACGAGAAGAGAUGAGAAGCUUGCUUCUUAUUGAUUCGAGUGGCAAACGGGUGAGUAACGCGUAAGCAACCUGCCCUUCAGAUGGGGACAACAGCUGGAAACGGCUGCUAAUACCGAAUACGUUCUUUUGUCGCAUGGCAGAGGGAAGAAAGGGAGGCUCUUCGGAGCUUUCGCUGAAGGAGGGGCUUGCGUCUGAUUAGCUAGUUGGAGGGUAACGGCCACCAAGGCGACGAUCGGUAGGGUUCUGGAGAGGAAGGUCCCCCCANAUUGGAACUGAGACACGGUCCAAACUCCUACGGGAGCAGCAGUGAGGAAUA
rnacentral:rRNA from 1 species